CAGCAGCCACGGGAAUACGUAGGGCGCAAGCGUUGUCCGGAAUUAUUGGGCGUAAAGAGCUCGUAGGCGGUCUGUCGCGUCUGGUGUGAAAUCCCGAGGCUCAACCUCGGGCUUGCAUCGGGUACGGGCAGACUAGAGUGCGGUAGGGGAGACUGGAAUUCCUGGUGUAGCGGUGGAAUGCGCAGAUAUCAGGAGGAACACCGAUGGCGAAGGCAGGUCUCUGGGCCGCAACUGACGCUGAGGAGCGAAAGCAUGGGGAGCGAACAGGAUUAGAUACCCGGGUAGUCCCUGUCUCUUAUAC
rnacentral:rRNA from 1 species